rnacentral:rRNA from 1 species
UGAGUGAAGAAGGCCUUCGGGUUGUAAAGCUCUUUUGUCAGGGAAGAAACGGUAGGAGCUAAUAUCUCUUGCUAAUGACGGUACCUGAAGAAUAAGCACCGGCUAACUACGUGCCAGCAGCCGCGGUAAUACGUAGGGUGCAAGCGUUAAUCGGAAUUACUGGGCGUAAAGCGUGCGCAGGCGGUUUUGUAAGUUUGUCGUGAAAUCCCCGGGCUUAACCUGGGAAUUGCGAUGAAGACUGCAAGGCUAGAAUCUGGCAGAGGGGGGUAGAAUUCCACGUGUAGCAGUGAAAUGCGUAGAGAUGUGGAGGAACACCGAUGGCGAAGGCAGCCCCCUGGGUCAAGAUUGACGCUCAUGCACGAAAGCGUGGGGAGCAAACAGGAUUAGAUACCCUGGUAGUCCACGCCCUAAACGA